AUUGAACGCUGGCGGCAUGCUUUACACAUGCAAGUCGAGCGGCAGCGCGGGGCAACCUGGCGGCGAGCGGCGAACGGGUGAGGAACACAUCGGAACGUACCCGAGAGUGGGGGAUAACGCCGCGAAAGCGGCGCUAAUACCGCAUAUUCUCUUUGGAGGAAAGUGGGGGACCGCAAGGCCUCACGCUCACGGAGCGGCCGAUGUCCGAUUAGCUAGUUGGUGGGGUAAAGGCUUACCAAGGCGACGAUCGGUAGCUGGUCUGAGAGGAUGAUCAGCCACACUGGGACUGAGACACGGCCCAGACUCCUACGGGAGGCAGCAGUGGGGAAUUUUGGACAAUGGGGGCAACCCUGAUCCAGCCAUGCCGCGUGCGGGAAGAAGGCCUUCGGGUUGUAAACCGCUUUUAGCCGGGAAGAAAAGGCGAUUCCUAAUAGGGGUCGUUCUUGACGGUACCGGCGGAAUAAGCACCGGCUAACUACGUGCCAGCCGCCGCAGUAA
rnacentral:rRNA from 1 species